rnacentral:lncRNA from 1 species
GUUUGAAGCCGGACGUGGGGCGGGCUUGACAUCCGAUGUGGCGGCCUCCUAUUCGCUGUCCACCGCCAUCGUCGUUGACGCUAUGAAGGGGCGGCAACCCGGCCAAACACGAUAUUGGCUGGAAGCAUUCGCAACCUACCGACCUAACGUCGGACACGACCGCCACAACCUCAACGCGUGCCAACAUAAAUGGCGCGAGCUACG